AUAUUGGCCGGAGACCGAUAGCGCACAAGUAGAGUGAUCGAAAGAUGAAAAGCACUUUGAAAAGAGAGUUAAAAAGCACGUGAAAUUGUUGAAAGGGAAGCGCUUGCGACCAGACUCGCUCGCGGGGUUCAGCCGGCAUUCGUGCCGGUGUACUUCCCCGCGGGCGGGCCAGCGUCGGUUUGGGCGGUCGGUCAAAGGCCCUCGGAAGGUAACGCCCCUAGGGGCGUCUUAUAGCCGAGGGUGCAAUGCGACCUGCCUAGACCGAGGAACGCGCUUCGGCUCGGACGCUGGCAUAAUGGUCGUAAACGACCCGUCUUGAAACACGGACC
rnacentral:rRNA from 1 species